GUACAGCUUUAGUGACCCCCCACUCUGUCCCCAACCAGGCCCCCCUGAGGCCUGGUGUGUACUAGCUGCACACAGCAGACCCCCUUGGAGUGCUGUAGCUGGUGAUUGGUACAGGUUGCCCAAAAGGACCCUGGACACAGUU